CCGUGACAAGAAAAGCCAGUGAAUUGGAAUUAACUGGCCGGGCAGCAUGAAUACGCACUGUAGGCCGUUCAGGAAUAAAGCCUGGAAACCCACUUUCUAUAUCUCCUCUUGAACCUCUGAACACGAAACUCAUGUUUGCAGAAAAGCUUUCAAGAUCUAAAAUUUCAUUCUUCUUCCAGAUAUAUUUUUUUUUUUUUUUUUGGGGCUUCAAAA
rnacentral:misc_RNA from 1 species